rnacentral:lncRNA from 1 species
CAGGGCUGCAGUUUGUGACCUAGAAACGUAUAGGUCACAAUGAGCAGUGCUGCCUCUGGCCUUCCUCAUUCUGCUGUGGGACCCAGUGGUCCUUGCCUAGCCCGGGCAUCUUGACCCCACAGCUUCUCCACACAGGGACCACACUCCUUCUUCCACUUUACCCACUGCCCAGGACAGGGGCUCUUGAUGGUUUUUGGGCCUUGUGAUCAGCUCCUAAAAGUUCUCAAAGCCACUGCAAUGAGAUCAGAGGUAGAAAGCACUCCUCCAAGGGAGGUGUGUCCUGAAAUGGAGAGAGGAAAUGAAGACGCUCAGUGUCUCUUGCUAAGAUGUCCCAGAAGUCACAAUUGAGCUUUUAAAGAGAAUCUCUUUGACUUUGGAGGAAGAAAAUGGACCCCACCCUUGAAUAAGAACAGCUGCCUCCUUGGAUAGAGGACACCUGGAUGCCACUCUUCCCACCAUGGACUUCUUGCCACAGUGCCCUCGGAAAAAGCUUUGAGACUCCUGCCACUACCACCCCACCCCUCGGUGUAAAUGCCAUUUAAGCAAUGUGAUUUCUUUUAGUGCUCUCAGGAGUUGCUCUCAAUUGCCCACUGCUCCUGAGCUGCUGCCUAGAGGCAGCAGGCAGGAAAAUGCAGAGUGGGAAGUUAAGGAGCAGGGAGGAGGAAGGGAAAGGCCAAGCCCCAUCCUUUAUUUUAAGCAGGUGCUUGUGAAGACACUGCAGAGAAGACAGGAAAAAAUAAAAAAGGACUCAGAGGAGAUUCUCAGCAUCUUGUAUCUUCUCAAAGAGAGAGCAUAUUCAAUGGUGUCAUGCUUCCAUGUCACCAAUCUCAUUUCCUCUGACUCUCCUUCACGGACCCUCUGCUCUGGCCCAUUUGAUCUGCUUGUUGUGUGAGCUGCCCAACCCAUCCCCUACAACCCUGCCAGUCCCUGAUAUCAUGAUCCUGCAUCAUGGCUCAAAGGCCAGACAAGCUGCAGUUCCCACAUGCGAACGAGGGAGGCAGAGCCCACUUAGAAGGAGAUCUGUUCAUCAACCAGUAAAGGAGUGCUAAGCCAUCACCUUCAGGAAUGUGUUAUCAAGGAGUACAUAAUGAAAAUAGCUGCAACUGCUUGCAAGGGGCAACCCACACCCACUAUUUUUGUCUUCCAGGAAGCCUUCCCUGAUCCACUCUUCCUAACAAGUAACUCCAUCUCAACAUUCAUCUUGUCCUAUAUCCACUUGCUCUUGGUAAUCCAUUACCUCUUACAUGUUAAGCCCUCUGAACGGGCUAUUUUCCUGUUUGUUUGAAAUUCAGCCCCAGUCCCCACAGCUGGGGCAUGUGCAGCACGAUUCUACAGAGUGCUUCAUAAAGAGAACGUGCUGGAUUCCUGGGGAAGACUGUGCUUGGCAGGGCUCUUUUGUUUCUGAGCAGCACCUUCUGUGUGGCUACAUUCCUGGUUGCUGUCCAGAGCUUUCCUAACAAAGACAGCUUCCAAGGCCAGACAAACAGCAGAAAAUGCAGGUUAAACCUGUACCACAGUACAAUGUACACUGCAAGGAAGGAUGCUUGUGGUUCAGCACUGCAUCUCCAGAAAGACAGCAGGGCUAGAGAAGGACUGGGAUGCCUAGUUGAGCUGAUGAAACAUAUGACAACAUUCAAAAAAUGAUUAGGGUUCCUCAAAGUGAGAAGACACAUGUUGAGAGAACGUGCAUGUAUAAAAAUCAAGCGGCUCCAGUGUGUGGGCAAUAAAGCUUUGACUGCUGCACUCCACAGGCCUGGGGUCGGGGAAAAGCUCAGCCUGCCGGAGUAGGACAGCGUGGAGAGUGGAGGCCCAAGCAGGAGGCUGAUUCUGGCUAGUGUAUCUCCAGGGAAGCAAUACCAGAGAAUCCUUCCCUAGUCUGAAAGGCCCUUUGAGGACCAGCAGGAAAAAGGGACCCAUCGAAGUAACACUGAAAUCCGAGGGAAUGAUUUUCAGGGCACAAAAGUAGGGUGGGACACAAGACUGGCAUUCCAGACACAGCCCAUCGGGCCAGGCUUUGGACAAGGAGAUGGAUUUCAUCUGAUUUCCCUUGACGGACGAGUUGUGUUCAGCAAACAGCCUGGUAUGCAGCUGUCACUCUGAUGCUGAGCUCUGACAGGCAUCGAUCAGGCUGCGGUGUGAGCAUGCAGAUACACACACAGGCCUCGUCAACAUCCGUGACUUGGAAGACAGCUCUGUCUGGGGCCAGGAUGACUACACCCCUUUCAGCAGAUGCUGCUAGGAGGAGAUUGCACCAAUGGGGAAAAGGAGACAGGAUGGAGCUUCUUCCAAAUACCCUUUCCUGGGCGGGAAGACAAGCUGUGGCAAUGAAGUGGAGUCACAAACGGGAGGAGAGACAGAUCCAACCUUGAUGGACAAGCUGCCAGAAUGGGAGCUUGUCCAGACAGCUGAGAUGGGCAUUAGGCUAAAGCUGGGGCACUGAGCUAGAGCUGGACAUAAAUGGCCUGUAAUCCCUAAGUCCAGGCAGAAGAAAUGGACCACUGGCAGCCCCAGCCUUCCGUCCUGCCUGGCAGCUCCUCUGGGCCUGAUGUUGCCCUCAGAAAGCCCUAGUGAGUUCCAGAGCACUCCAACUGAACUGAAGGUCAUCUGUCCCAAUGCUUCCUCCCCAAAGCAAAUGUCAUCCUUACACCUCUGAUAUCGGUGUCUAUCAACUUCGAUCUCCUUCAAAGAAGCCCAUUUCACUGUUAGAAAAGUCCUCUUUCAAGUGAAUGCCCUCUAACUUGAACUUCUUCCUACUGGUCUUAGUUUUGUACUCUGGAGCAAUUGGAAACACAUCUGAUCCAUUUUUUUUAUUUACCAGUGGAUGACUUUUAGAAAGUUCUCUGAACCCAAGUAUCACUUAGCUCAGAGGACUGGCUACCUUGAGGACUAAACGAGAGAAGCUCCGUCAAAGGAUGGGCACAGCACUUAGCAACAGUAAGUACACAAGUGUUCGUUCCUUGCCUCCUUCCACAUGACAACCAUUGGUAUUAUCAGUGUUUGUCCUUUCUUUCCAUCCCGAGUGAAUUCCAUUACCUGGACCUGGAUCCCAUAUUCUACACCACCCAGGUCCCUUCCUAGGAAUGCCCCUCCAUUUAUCAGGAUCCCUCUAAAAACACACUGCUUAGAACUGAACACAGUAUCUCAGAUGCUGUUUAGGCAGUGCAGAAUAAUUACCUCCUUUGAUCUAUAUGAUUUCUCUAUGAAUGCAAUUUUUAUCAGUCACUUCACACUGUUAGCUACAGUUGGUGGUAAAUAAAACCCUGUGGGGUAAUUUUCAUGUAAAUUGCUGUCAAGCUAGGUCACCUUCAUCUUGUAAUGGUGUAACUGAUUUUUGAACUUAAACAUGGGACUUGUGGCCAUCUCACAUUGGAAGCUGCAGCCCAUCUCUCUCUCUCUCAUACUUACAGGAGAUAUUGAACUUUGAUUUUUCUGUUCUAACAGUAAAAAGUCUUGUUCAUCUCAAAUGUCUUUCCUGGGCCUCUGCCUUUGUCUUCGGGAGGGUGGACUCAGGGGCAGAAACAUGAACUUGCACAGUGGCUCCAAGAUACCCCAUGGGAAGGAUUUGGUGACACUGUCCAGGAGGAAAACUCCUGCACUGGGAAGCUGUGGGAAGCUCUGGAAGCAAGCACACAGGGCAGAACCAGAGAAGGAGCAGUCAGCACUCCACCCUCUGGAAAGCCUGAGCCCCCUCCUUCCCAGUUACUGGAUCUGAGGCUUUCACUCAAGCAAGUGAAGCUACUGCCACUCGCAUGGGCCCAGCGGUGGAUUUGGUGGAGUCUACGGUCAAAAUGGAGACGACACAGAAAAGAGCUCAGAGGCAUCUAGGAAAUGAUGCUCUUUCUCAGCUCAGGAGGACUGACUUAGCCCUGCUGCCUCCCAGAGCCCUUCAUCACGGCAGCUCUGCCUAUCUUCUUGGAUUAACAAUGGUUCUGUCAAAUAAGUAUGGAAUGUUUCUGGAAAAGGCUGGCUGGGUCAUAGGUAGAUGGUUGUGGGAAUGCAGAGAACAGAGAUUUGAUUUGCAGGUGACAUGAUAAAUGGAAGAGAGAUUUGGGCCCUAAGACUGGGGGAAGAGAUGGAAGACCAAAAAAAUCAGCCAGAAACUUGAGGCUAAAGAGAGCUUUUCUCAAGUAUUGCUCCAAUGGCAAAAUUGCUGGGGAUCUGAGGGACAUGUGGAACUCAUUUGGGGUCUAGCUCCCAGAUUUUAUACCAGCAAUAAGGUCGAUAACUAAUGAAGUCCUUGCUACAGUGCAGUAACUGAACUGCUCACGUCAGUGAAGCUAAACUUGCAGAGGCUUUCUUUUCUCAGUAUCAGACUCAAUGCUGUGAGGAUAAGUUAUCUGGGGAAAAGAGGUAAGGAGAAGAACAAUGAGGUAUGGGAUUUCUACUGUACUUUUUUCUGUAGGACCUGCUGGAUCCUUCUGCCUCAAUUUGUCUGCAAAUGACAUAAACAUGCAUUAAAGAUGGCCAGAAAACAGUGACUUUUGCAAAUGCCUCCAUAGAGGCGUUCAAACAGAAAAACCAUCCACAUGCUAAAAAGAGGGAGGUGAGAAAGAAGAGGGAGAACUGGGUAAAUUAAGUGCUCCAUAUCUUGUCCUGUUAACGUCUCCUUUACACACACAUACAUGUAAGCGAGUGCUUGCAUGUCUGGUUCAGUCUUCUUACGAAAACCCAGUGGAAACAACCAUGCAGUCUCUGAGGCUACCUGCCUUAGACAGAGAAUGUCACUGAGGUCACUUCUGUUUUUAUUCAGAAUGCAGUGCUCUCUGAGAACCCUUUCCUUUGUGGGCGUUUACCCCAGCCUCCCCAAUUCCAGCCAAGCUUUCACUUGAUGAUUCUAAGACAUUAGCUCAGAAUCUCUUUUACCUUCACACUGCCCCAGAGAUCCACUGUACCCUGGACCUCAUCAUUCUAUCCUCUCCUGCAUACGUUGCUGGGACACUCUAGCCAAUUUCUUCCCAUAAUUCUUCAUAAUAUUAUCAUCCCCAUUUUAUGGAUGAGGACCCUGAAGGUUAAAGGAUUAAGUGGUUUAGGUCUAAGGCCAUGCAGCUGGUAAGUGACAGGGCCAGAAUUCAAACACAGGUCUCUGAUUCCAAGGUCCACGCUGCUGACCAUAAUGCCAUCCUGCUGCACUGACACUUCACUAGACUUGAA